AUUGAACGCUGGCGGCAGGCCUAACACAUGCAAGUCGAACGAGUGGCGGACGGGUGAGUAAUGUCUGGGAAACUGCCUGAUGGAGGGGGAUAACUACUGGACACGGUCGCUAAUACCGCAUACCCUCGGAUGUGCCCAGAUGGGAUUAGCUAGUAGGUGGGGUAAAGGCUCACCUAGGCGACGAUCCCUAGCUGCUCUGAGAGGAUGACCAGCCACACUGGAACUGAGACACGUUCCAGACGCCUACGGGAGGCAGCAGUGGGGAAUAGUGCACAAGGGGCGCAAGCCUGAUGCAGCCAUGCCGCGUGUAUGAAGAAGGCCUUCGGGUUGUAAAGUACUUUCAGCGGGGAGGCGUUACCAACAGAAUAAGCACCGGCUAACUUCGUGCCAGCAGCCGCGGUAAUAC
rnacentral:rRNA from 1 species